rnacentral:rRNA from 1 species
UACGAAGGUGGCAAGCGUUGUUCGGAUUCACUGGGCGUACAGGGUGUGUAGGCGGUUUGGUAAGCCUUCUGUUAAAGCUUCGGGCCCAACCCGGAAAGCGCAGAGGGUACUGCCAGGCUAGAGGACGGGAGAGGAGCGCGGAAUUCCCGGUGUAGCGGUGAAAUGCGUAGAUAUCUGGAGGGACACCGGUGGCGAAGGCGACAUCCUGGACCGGUAUUGACGCUGAGGCGCGAAAGCCAGGGGAGCAAAGCGGG